GAUGAAGAACGCAGCGAAAUGCGAUACUUGGUGUGAAUUGCAGAAUCCCGUGAACCAUCGAGUCUUUGAACGCAAGUUGCGCCUCAAGCCAUUAGGUUGAGGGCACGUCUGCCUGGGCGUCACAUAUCGUUGCCUGAUGCCAGUUUCCUCGUGAUGGGUGACUGUGCAGGGCGAAUGAUGGCUUACCGUGAGCAUUGUUGCCUCAUGGUUGGUUGAAAAUUGAGUCCUUGGUAGGGAGCGCCGUGAUAGAUGGUGGUUGAGUGACGAACGAGACCCAAUCAUGUGAGACCCCUACCGAAUUUGGCCUUCAUGACCCACAUGCGUCUUUGGAACGCUCAUGACGAGACCUCAGGUCAGGCGGGGCUACCCGCUGAGUUUAAGCAUAUCAAUAAGCGGAGGA
rnacentral:misc_RNA from 1 species